rnacentral:rRNA from 1 species
UAGUCCACGCCGUAAACGAUGGAUACUAGGUGUCCGGGAAGUUAACCUCCUGGGUACUACAGCUAACGCGUUAAGUAUCCCGCCUGGGGAGUACGGUCGCAAGGCUAAAACUCAAAGGAAUUGACGGGGGCCCGCACAAGCGGUGGAGUAUGUGGUUUAAUUCGAAGCAACGCGCAGAACCUUACCUACCCUUAACAUUUCACGCUCGCCUCAGAGAUGAGGUUUUCUCUUCGGAGACGUGAGGAUAGGUGCUGCAUGGCUGUCGUCAGCUCGUGUCGUAAGAUGUCUGGUUAAGUCCAAUAACGAGCGCAACCCUUAUCCUUAGUUACCAGCAUUGAGUUGGGGACUCUAGGGAGACUGCCGGUGUUAAACCGGAGGAAGGCGGGGAUGACGUCAAGUCCUCAUGGCCCUUACGGGUAGGGCUACACACGUACUACAAUGGCAGAAACAAACCGAAGCGAUAUUGCGAGAUGGAGCUAAACGGUAAAACACUGUCUCAGUCCGGAUUGAAGUCUGCAACUCGACUUCA